GGCAACUAUGAUGACCACAACAUUUUAGUGAAUGCGGACAUGAUCGCAGAAAGAACAUCUAAGGGGCUGAGUUGUC
rnacentral:snoRNA from 1 species